rnacentral:rRNA from 1 species
GAUGAACGCUGGCGGCGUGCCUAAUACAUGCAAGUCGAGCGAACAGAUAAGGAGCUUGCUCCUUUGAAGUUAGCGGCGGACGGGUGAGUAACACGUGGGUAACCUACCUAUAAGACUGGGAUAACUUCGGGAAACCGGAGCUAAUACCGGAUAACAUUUAGAACCGCAUGGUUCUAAAGUGAAAGAUGGUUUUGCUAUCACUUAUAGAUGGACCCGCGCCGUAUUAGCUAGUUGGUAAGGUAACGGCUUACCAAGGCGACGAUACGUAGCCGACCUGAGAGGGUGAUCGGCCACACUGGAACUGAGACACGGUCCAGACUCCUACGGGAGGCAGCAGUAGGGAAUCUUCCGCAAUGGGCGAAAGCCUGACGGAGCAACGCCGCGUGAGUGAUGAAGGGUUUCGGCUCGUAAAACUCUGUUAUUAGGGAAGAACAAAUGUGUAAGUAACUGUGCACAUCUUGACGGUACCUAAUCAGAAAGCCACGGCUAACUACGUGCCAGCCGCCGCGGUAA